UACGUAGGUGGCAAGCGUUGUCCGGAUUUAUUGGGUUUAAAGGGUGCGUAGGCGGCCCUGUAAGUCAGUGCUGAAAUAUCCCGGCUUAACCGGGAGGGUGGCAUUGAUACUGCGGGGCUAGAGUACAGAUGAGGUAGGCGGAAUUGACGGUGUAGCGGUGAAAUGCUUAGAUAUCGUCAAGAACACCUAUAGCGAAGGCAGCUUACUAGGCUGUAACUGACGCUGAGGCGCGAAAGCGUGGGGAGCAAACAGG
rnacentral:rRNA from 1 species